UGAUAGUUGAUGUGUAUCUCUUGGAGAAAUUUUUGUUCAAAAAAAUGUAGUUUGAAAAGCUAUUUGUGACAUAAGAACUUUCAUAUUCCAAUUUGGCUGAAUAUAAAUGAAAAUGAAACAUCUCCAAGCUCAAUUCUUUGAAUAUAAAUGAAAAUAGUAUGCCUCUUUUUUCGUUUUUUUUUUUGGCUAUGUAAGGUUUAGUUAUGAUUGUUAAAUUGAUUUAUGAAGGUAGGCUGUCAAUCUCAUUGUAACUUUGUCUUGAACAGGAAAAACAUACCGUCUAUGGGUGCAUAAUGUCGGUAUCUCAACUAAUUUUGACAGGAAAUCACUACAGUAGUUAGUUGUGUGAGCGAAAAGCAAUAAUUUGAUUCAAAGUUUCGAUUUUGAAUUUUUCUUGCAAACGUUUCAUCUGGGUAUCAGUAUAAUUUCGAUUUUAGUCACCAUAAUUGCUUAAUAUGGUUUUUUAUUUUCUGGGUUAUUGAUCUCUUAUGUAAUUGAAGUUAAUUUUAUUGCUUCUGGACUUAUAUUUAUGUGAAUUUCCAUUUAUUAAUGCAACAUUUUGAUUCAUAUCUUGUUAAUGAAUUUUCAUAAUUUAAUCCGAUAAAAAUCAAUUUUUUAGCCGGAGUUUAUACUGCUUUUAUUCAUAUUGUUUCUGAUAGUUUUUAGUAAAUUCUCUUACAUGGUUAAAUUGUGUCUACUGACUGCAUAGUCAAUGCAUUACUUUAUAAGACCACUCAAGAUAGUUUUAUAUGUAGUUAAGGAGUCUAAUUAGUUAGCAUCAGGAUUAGGACUCCUAGUGAGACUAAUUAGGCUCUUGGGUUUUCAUUAAAAUUUUCAACCUUUAUUUUUAAUACUUGUGCUCUGUAACUGUAAAUUUUCUAUAUAUAUAGGGAGCUUUGGACGAUGAACUAUCCACAGCAGAGAGCCAGCCAAAACCUUAGACACAGUAUUAAGAUGGGUUGGACUUUAGGGAGGGCACCUGUAUAUGAUGUUAAUAUGUAACUUGCUUCAUUGACUUUGCAGUAUUUCAACGGAUAUGGGUAUCAUGGAACCUCAUUUGAGCAGACAUAUCGAUGUUACCCUUCAUCCUUUAUCGAUAAGGAUAAUUGGCCUUCUGUGAUGUUUGCAAUGGCAGGAGGGGUGGUACUUGGCCUUGGAAAUCUCUCAACUCAGUAUGCUUGGGCUAUAGUUGGCUUAUCAGUCACAGAAGUGAUCACUGCAAGCAUAACAGUUGUUAUAGGUCCUUUCUUUCAUUCUCUCUCUCUCUCUGACCAUUUCUAAAUAUUGAUGUUUGUCUGUGUUGCUCUUAUAGAUACUGAAUUUUUUGCUUCUAUUGCGAUCUUUAAUGGUGACAGAAACAACCUAGAAUUACUUUUUAGACAAUAGAAUUAAUAGAACCGAGAUCCUUUUCCCUGGCGUUGGUUGCUUCUUGGUUGUAGUUUGCCUUGCUUCUACUGUCCACUCAUCUAAUGCAGCUGAUAAUAAAGAAAAACUUGAAGGUUUUUCAUCUAAAGAGGGGUGUUUGGGAAAAGCACUCUCAUUGGACUGUCCAUAUGUUUCUUUGCUGGUGUUUGCUUUUCUCUAUUCUCACCAACAUUCAACUUGGCAACAAAUGAUCAAUGGCAUACAUUGAAAGAUGGGGUUCCUCACUUGGUUUUCUACACUGCAUUCUUUUACUUCUCAGUAUCUUGUUUUGUCCUUGCUAUAAUCCUCACAUCACAUUCCUUUACUACCCUGUGCUGGACUUACCGAAAUCAUCAUUCAA